CGGACGGGUGAGUAACACGUGAGUUACCUGCCUCGAAGUGGGGGAUAGCCUUCCGAAAGGGAGAUUAAUACCCCAUGUGAUCGCAAGAUUAAAGGCGGCCAUCUUUGAUGGCUGUCGCUUCGGGAUGGGCUCGCGGCCUAUCAGCUAGUUGGUGAGGUAACUGCUUACCAAGGCGAUGACGGGUAGCUGGUCUGAGAGGACGACCAGUCACACUGGAACUGAGACACGGUCCAGACACCUACGGGUGGCAGCAGUCGAGAAUCAUUCGCAAUGGGCGAAAGCCUGACGGUGCGACGCCGCGUGGAGGAUGAAGGCCCUAGGGUCGUAAACUCCUGUCAUCAGGGAGUAAUGGCUCACGUAGUAACUGCCGUGAGCAGUGAUAGUACCUGAAGAGGAAGGGACGGCAAACUUCGUGCCAGCAGCCGCGGUAAUACGAAGGUCUCAAGCGUUGUUCGGAUUUACUGGGCGUAAAGCGUCUGUAGGCGGAGUGGUAAGUCAGAUGUGAAAUCCCGGGGCUCAACCCCGGAACUGCAUCCGAUACUGCCACCCUAGAGGGUCGGAGGGGAGUCUGGAAUUCUCGGUGUAGCAGUGAAAUGCGUAGAUAUCGAGAGGAACACUAGUGGCGAAGGCGAGACUCUGGACGACACCUGACGCUGAGAGACGAAGGCCAGGGUAGCGAAAAGGAUUAGAUACCCUUGUAGUCCUGGCAGUAAACGGUGCACGC
rnacentral:rRNA from 1 species